CAGUUAAAAAGCUCGUAGUUGGAUUUCGGAACCGGCCGAUUGGUCCGUCCUCUGGAUCGUGUACUGAUCGGUCUGUUCUUCUUCGCGAAGACCGCGUGUGCUCUUAACUGAGUGGGCGUGGGAUUCGCGACGUUUACUUUGAAAAAAUUAGAGUGUUCAAAGCAGGCAGUCGCUUGAAUAUCUCAGCAUGGAAUAAUAGAAUAGGACUUUGGUCUUAUUUUGUUGGUUUCCGAGACCGAAGUAAUGAUAAAUAGGGACAGUUGGGGGCAUUCGUAUUACAUUGUCAGAGGUGAAAUUCUUGGAUUUAUGAAAGACGAACUUCUGCGAAAGCAUUUGCCAAGGAUGUUUUCAUUAAUCAAGAACGAAAGUUGGAGGCUCGAAGACGAUCAGAUACCGUCCUAGUUCCAACCAUAAACGAUGCCGUCUGCGGAUCGGAGGUCGCUCAUGUAAGGCUCCUUCGGCACGCUAUGAGAAAUCAAAGACUUCGGGUUCCGGGGGGAGUAUGUUCGCAAGAAUGAAACUUAAAGGAAUUGACGGAAGGGCACCACCAGGAGUGGAACCUGCGGUUUAAUUUGACUCAACACGGGAAAACUCACCAGGUCCAGACAUAGGAAGGAUUGACAGAUUGAGAGCU
rnacentral:rRNA from 1 species